rnacentral:rRNA from 1 species
GCGGACGGGUGAGUAACACGUGACCAACCUAUCUUCAUGGCGGGGGACAACCUGGGGAAACUCGGGCUAAUACCGCGUAACGUCAUCGUGCCGCAUGGCACUUUGAUCAAAGAUGGCCUCUUUACAAUGCUAUCACCUGGAGAGGGGGUCGCGGAGUAUCAGCUUGUUGGUGAGGUAACGGCUCACCAAGGCGAUGACGCUUAGCGGGUCUGAGAGGACGACCCGUCACAUUGGGACUGAGAUACGGCCCAGACUCCUACGGGAGGCAGCAGUGGGGAAUAUUGCGCAAUGGCCGAAAGGCUGACGCAGCGACGCCGCGUGUGGGAGGAAGCCCUUCGGGGUGUAAACCACUGUCAGGGGGGAAGAAACUCGUCUGCGGGAAUAUCGCAGGCGAUUGACGGUACCCCCAGAGGAAGCACCGGCUAACUCCGUGCCAGCAGCCGCGGUAAUACGGAGGGUGCAAGCGUUGUUCGGAAUUACUGGGCGUAAAGCGCGGGCAGGCGGUCUUUUAAGUCCCCUGUGAAACUCCGGAGCUCAACUCCGGACAUGCAGGAGAUAC